rnacentral:rRNA from 1 species
CCGUGUUUACUGUACCUUAGUUGCUUCGGCGGGCCCGCCAUUCAUGGCCGCCGGGGGCUCUCAGCCCCGGGCCCGCGCCCGCCGGAGACACCACGAACUCUGUCUGAUCUAGUGAAGUCUGAGUUGAUUGUAUCGCAAUCAGUUAAAACUUUCAACAAUGGAUCUCUUGGUUCCGGCAUCGAUGAAGAACGCAGCGAAAUGCGAUAACUAGUGUGAAUUGCAGAAUUCCGUGAAUCAUCGAGUCUUUGAACGCACAUUGCGCCCCCUGGUAUUCCGGGGGGCAUGCCUGUCCGAGCGUCAUUGCUGCCCAUCAAGCACGGCUUGUGUGUUGGGUCGUCGUCCCCUCUCCGGGGGGGACGGGCCCCAAAGGCAGCGGCGGCACCGCGUCCGAUCCUCGAGCGUAUGGGGCUUUGUCACCCGCUCUGUAGGCCCGGCCGGCGCUUGCCGAACGCAAAUCAAUCUUUUUCCAGGUUGACCUCGGAUCAGGUAGGGAUACCCGCUGAACUUAAGCAUAUCAAUAAGCGGAGGA